rnacentral:rRNA from 1 species
UACAGAGGUCUCAAGCGUUGUUCGGAUUCAUUGGGCGUAAAGGGCGCGUAGGCGGCGGGGUAAGUCGGGUGUGAAAUCUCAGGGCUCAACCCUGAAACUGCACUCGAUACUGUUCUGCUUGAGGACUGGAGAGGAGACUGGAAUUCAUGGUGUAGCAGUGAAAUGCGUAGAGAUCAUGAGGAAGACCAGUGGCGAAGGCGGGUCUCUGGACAGUUCCUGACACUGAGACACGAAGGCCAGGGGAGCAAACGGG